rnacentral:misc_RNA from 1 species
AGGACAGGCGGCGACGCUUGUCGCAAAGGCGGCCGCCGAAAAGCGCGGGAGGCAGAAAAAAAUGUCUUAUUCCUUUCGUCGGCAGUUGAUAUUCACUAAUUCUUGUUAAGAAGGCGCGGGCGGCGUCUGCGCGCUGUCUACUUGCGAAACGUGCGUGUAUGCGUCGGAUUUUAUCGUCGAGAGCUGAAGAUGUCGGUGAAAGCGCGCAGCAAGAUAAUCAAAAGCUUCCAAAUUAGAGGGUUCACGCUUCGCAGUGAGGCUAGCAAGUUCCUGUUAGAAGCCUUGACGCCGUUGGACGAGGAUCGCCAAGAUUUGUGGUUGAAACGUCUGCUAGACUCGCUUCAGGCACAACGCAUCAACGGGCCGUUCCUCACCAAGGACGAUGUUCUUGGCUGCAUCCGCGAGUUUGAACGGUCCGACAACGAUGGCACCGAUGUCCGUCUUCUGGUGGCUGACGCAUUCAGCCUUGCACCGCUCACUUACUGUCAGGAGCGGCGCAAGUUCGUGCCUCGCGAGUUGGCAGGCCACAGUGGGCCUCCGCGGCUGUUUGGUGAUGCGGGGGCCAAGGCGUUUUUCUUCCGCGAGCGUUAUCAGCUGGUGCUGCAGAAGACUGCACGCCACCACUGCUUUUCGUCGAGGUCACGCCUGCCCGCUGCCUCGGGCUUCGACCUGCGCCCCAUCGAGCACCUCCUGGGCACCACGGGCGAGCGCGUAGUCGUGCUCGGCAUGCUGUGCCAGCUCGAAGAGGGCAACUACUUUCUUGAGGACACAACUGGCUCUGUAAAGAUUGACACUUCUGGUACUAAGUUCACAGCCGACCUGUUUGUGGAGAACAGCUUUGUUCUGGCCGAGGGCUGCUACGAAGACAUGGCCUUCCAUGUUGAUGCCAUGGGCCUGCCUCCCAUCGAGCCAGCUUCAGAGACGCUGAAGUACAUGGGCGGAGCCAGCAUGUUUGACAUGUUUCCCGAGAAGUUACGGACUCAACUGGAGUUGAGUGAUGUGCCGGACAAUGCCCUGUUUGUGCUCCUCUCCGAUGUUUGGCUAGACCAACCUAAGGUUCUGUCACACCUGCGUGUGCUGUUCACCGGCUUCGCACAGGGUGCCCCCGCCUGCUUUGUGCUGGCAGGAAACUUCCUGUCACGUUCCACGGGCCUCCAGAAAGAUCGGGCGCUGCUCAAAGAGGGAUUCAAGGCACUGGCUGAAAUGCUCAACGAGUUUCCACUCCUAGUCAAGCACUCCCGGUUCAUCUUCGUCCCAGGACCCAGGGACCCGGGCCUCUCUAACGUGCUGCCCAGGCCAGGCCUGCCCCACCAGGUGACGGAGCCUCUGCGCUCUCGCGGUGGUAACGAAGCCGAGAGUGCACUGGCCGAGCGGUGUCACUGGGCGAGCAACCCGUGCAGGCUGCUGUACUGUGGACGCCAGGUGGUGCUGUGGCGACAGGAUGGCCUCGCCAAGGCCUGCCGCAACGCCGUGCAUCGACCCUGGGACAAGACGGGCCUCGACCUCGCUCAAGUGUACACACGGAGCCUGGCCGCCAAUGCACACCUGAGCCCAGUGUCGCCUGCAGUAACGCCCAUCUACUGGGAGUGGGACUUUGCUCUCUGGCUGCACCCACUGCCAGACGCAGCGGUCUGCUUUGACGCCUGUGAUGCAUUCACCGUCGAACAUGCAGGAUGUGUCUUCUUCAACCCCGGUUCAUUUCCAAAGACAGACUAUGGCUUCAAGGUUUACUACCCUGCCUUCAAGAAGGUUGAAGACAGCCAGAUUGGGAACGUCGCAGAGUGAUUAACCUUGCAGAUGAGCUUCAUCUCGCUCAUCUUUACUAUCUACCUGCAGAAACUGGGGACAUUGGAAAAAGAAUGGCUGACCCAAGAAAACAUAACAUGCAGUGAUUUUGCAGUAGUACAUAUGCUGACGUGAAGGAAAUCGUGCUGCAGUGCUCAGUGUCAGCUAAAAUGUGUGUGGAAAGCAUUCUCACAUGUUUGCUAGCCUUGACCUGUUGUUUGUAACAGUGCUGCUUCAUGCUCAAGUCUGUAAUGAUGCAUAGGCCUUUUCACUCUUUUGAACUUUUGAGGUGUCUGCAAAACUUCAGUUGGGCAAGGACAAUGGUUGCCACUAUACACUAUUUGUGAUGGCACUGCAUCAUACUUUCUCAAUACAUUGCUUUGAGCUUUGUGUAUGUGCCUCACCUCCUUCUGUUCAACGAGUCACUGGACAAGGUCACCCAGAAACAACAAAUGGAUAAUCUCAUUAGGUUUUGGGAUGACAGCGAUACUCACCGUAGUGUUUCUCGGGGACACAGGUGCGGACCCCCAUUUGAGAACCAUUCCUGUGUAGAGUACAGUGAUGUGAUUGAUGGAAGCCAUUUUGGCACAGCUUCUGGAGCAGAUAAAACCCUGCUUUGGAACAUCAUAUGAGUAUUUUGGAGCAUUUAGCAGUCCCACAUUUUUUAAUGCAACUAUUUAUGUCUCUAACAUAGAGCAGUUGUACCAUGUGUAAUGAAAUGGAUGUAUGAAUGCAUGUUUAUUUAUAAAAUUCCAGAAGAUGAAAUUAACUUACUGCUCUUCGUUUGCUUGUGCCCAACCCUAGUUUCUUCAGUCUCGUGACUUUCGGUCACCUCACAUUUGUCCGCAGUACAGUUCAUAUUUGCAAUUAAAUGAGGCUUUCUCCAAUAAUUUAGAUACUGCAUGGAAGUGCAAGCUGCGUAAAUAUUACACGCAUUUUAAAUGCGAAGCAUUUCUUAGCGA